rnacentral:rRNA from 1 species
AUGGUUUUAUCAACUGUGAAAAGGAAGACUUCUACUCCCCUCAAUGGGACCGAGCAUGAAGUAAACGUUGAUGAGGAGGAUGGCUUCAUCCUCAGAGAUCGUCUUCUCCCCCUCAUUAUUUGCCUGCUGAGAACGGACAAAGUUCCUGCAGUGCUCAGAAUGUACCGGGAUACCCUUAUUACUGUUAUGAAAGCUUCAAUCAAAUCCACAGUUGCAGAGAUGCUUCCAGUCUUGAUUUCCAAACCAAUAGAUUCUGAUUCAGUAACUGGAGACAGAGCUGCCGAUUCUGAUGCUGGAGGCCAGUCUUUAGCAAAUAAACUGCGUAGUCUAUCAUCUGAAGGGUUUGUUCAGCUUUUAUCGGCUAUUUUUAGUAUAGUUCAGGUACAUCUCCAGCAAGCAGCUGAAGUUAAAAAAAUAGUUCAGUGGAUCAUGCGAAACCUUGAUGGGAACAUAAGUCCUGAUGACAGAAAUCCUGUCGUACAACAUGGUGGCUCAGUUGAUCUUUCCCAAGAGAAAGACUAUGAUGUUACUUCACGGGUCUCUAAUACUGUUACACGCACGCCUACUAAGCUUCCGUUGUUUCAAGGAAAGACAAAUGAUAUGUCCAGUAUAAAUUCAAUAAAAAAUAUUCGAGCUGAUGUGUUGAGAGAAAGCACAGAAGCAGUGUUUGCUGCAUGUGAUGCUGCACAUGGACGAUGGGCUAAGCUGCUAGGUGUUCGUGCUGCUCUACAUCCCAAGUUAAGGCUUCAGGAGUUCCUGAUCAUCUAUAAUAUAACAGAAGAGUUUAUAGCUGCUACAGAAAAGGUUGGAGGCAGGUUAGGUUACAACAUUCGCGGAAUUCUACAGCAACAGUCAAAGCAAUUUGUUGAGUAUCAGCAUAGUGUUCGGAUGGCAAAAAUUAAGGCAGUUCUUGACCAAGAGACGUGGAUUGCUGUUGAUGUUCCUGAAGAGUUCCAAGCGAUUGUUCUGUCACUGUCAUCAACUGACUUUCCUGUUAAUGGCAUGGAGAUGCCUAGCAAUGAUAACAACUCAAAGCUCAGUGAGGAUGGGGUUUCAACAAGUCAAGAAUCAGCACAUUCAACUGAAAAUAAUGUUGAAAAUAGCAAUGGGACAUCUACGACAAGCAAUGAAAACAAGGUUGAAUCCACUUCUCAGACUGAAAAUAGUGUUGCUGGCCAUGUUAGGCCAGUCGCGCAAACCAUUGUGCUUGGAGGUGUUGGCUAUCAUAUGGUGAACUGCGGUUUGAUAUUGUUGAAAAUGCUAUCAGAAUAUGUUGACAUCAGUAAAUGUUUGCCAUCGUUAUCUUUUGAGGUGGUCCAACGUGUUGUUGAGAUAUUAAAGCAUUUCAAUACCAGGACUUGCCAACUGGUUCUUGGCGCAGGUGCCAUGCAGGUAUCUGGUCUGAAAUCAAUUACUUCUAAGCAUUUAGCUUUAGCAAGUCAAAUUAUCAGUUUCAUACAUUCUUUGAUUCCAGAUAUUCGUCGAGUACUUUUCCUGAAAAUACCGGAAGCACGCAAACAUCUGUUGAUGUCUGAACUGGAUAGAGUUACUCAGGACUAUAAGGUUCAUCGAGAUGAAAUUCACACCAAGCUAGUCCAGAUAAUGAGAGAGAGAUUGCUAGCAAAUCUUAGAAAAUUACCGCAAAUCAUGGAGAGUUGGAAUGGACCAGAUGAUAAUGAUUCGCAGCCAAGUCUAUUCGCCAAAGCUGUUACAAAGGAAGUCACUUACUUGCAUCGCAUCCUUUCUCAAAUACUGCUUGAGGUAGAUCUGCAAGCGAUAUUCAGGCAAGUAGUCCAGAUAUUCCAUUCCCAUAUCACAGAAGCAUUUUCAAAGUUGGAAAUCAGUAGUCCUCAGGCAAAGAACAGAUUAUGUCGAGAUGUUCAACAUAUUCUUGUAUGUAUUCGAAAGUUGCCUGCUCAGAACUUCAGCUCAGAACCUGUUCGAAAUUAUGGUCUUCUUGACGAGUUCUUGGCUGAGAAGUUCGGGACAAAAGUUGACGGGUGA